rnacentral:misc_RNA from 1 species
GGAAGUAAAAGUCGAAACAAGGUUUCCGUAGGUGAACCUGCGGAAGGAUCAUUACCGAGUGAGGGUCUCUCAGGCCCGACCUCCCACCCUGUGUUUUUGUGACCUUGUUGCUUUGGCGGGCCCGCCUCGAUGAGAGGCCGCCGGAAGCUCACCGCUUUGGGCCCGUGCCCGUCAGUAGCCCCCUUAAAUUCUUAAUAAACCUGUCGUCUGAGUCAAUGGAUAUAAUGAAAAAAGACUUUCAACAACGGAUCUCUUGGUUCUG